AUGGCCACCCGUGUGCAAACACUAGCUCUUCUUCCCCUGUUCCUUCUCUUCUCCCCUGCGCCCGCAGCUGAUAGUAUCAGCGCGACCUCUCCCGUCGCCGAUGGCCAGACGCUCGUUUCUGCCGGUGGAGUCUUCGAGCUUGGGUUCUUCACCCCGCCGGCCUCGACGGCGAGGUUCUUGGGCAUCUGGUACAAGGGCAUCGCUCCUCUUACUGUUGUCUGGGUCGCCAACCGGGAAGCACCCAUCACCGGCACCGCCGCGAGCUUGGCCAUCAACGGCACCGGCAGCCUGGUACUCGCCGAUCGGUCGGGACGUCCGUUCUGGUCCUCGGCGCGGUCGAACGUAACCAGCAGUACUCCGGUGGCCCAGCUCCUGGACAGCGGCAACCUCCUGCUUCAAGACGCCAGUGGCACGGGGUCGGUUCUGUGGCAGAGCUUCGACUACCCGUCCGACACUCUGCUCCCGGGUAUGAAGCUCGGGUGGCACCUGGCCACGGGGCUCGACCGCUACCUGACGACGUGGGCGAGCCCCGGCGACCCGUCGCCUGGCGACUACACGUUCGCGAUCGACAUCCGCGGCGUGCCGGAGGGGUUCAUCUGGUACAACGGCACGGCGCCGGUGUACCGGAACGGGCCGUGGAACGGCCUGCGGUUCAGCGGCGAGCCGGAGAUGGCGCCGGACAACGGCAACUUCCAGUUCGAGUUCGUGGCCAACGGCACCGACGCAUACUACACGUUCCUGGUAGACGACGGCGGCGGCGGCGGCAACGUGGUCUCGAGGUUCGUGCUGAACCAGUCGAGCCUGCAGCGCUACGUGUGGCUGCAGCAGCAGCAGGCGUGGAGCCUCUACUGGUCGCUGCCCCGGGACCCGUGCGACGGCUACGCGCAGUGCGGCGCCUACGGCGUCUGCGACGCCAGCGCCUCGCCGAUGUGCUGCUGCCCCGCCGGGUUCACGCCGGCCUCGCCGCGGGAGUGGGCGCUGAGGGACGGCUCGGCCGGGUGCGCGCGCAGGACGCGGCUCAACUGCACCGGGGACGGCUUCCUGCCGCUGCGGGGCGUCAAGCUGCCCGACGCCACGAAUGCGACGGCGGACGCCAGCGUCAGCCUCGAUCAGUGCCGGCAGCGGUGCCUGGCGAACUGUUCUUGCCUGGCGUACUCUGCGUCGAGCAUAAAGGGGGGCGAGAGCGGCUGCAUCAUGUGGAGCUCGUCGUUGAUCGACAUCCGGCGGUUUGAAUCCGGCGGGCAGAAUCUGUUUGUUCGUCUCGCGGCGUCCGAUUUACGUAUGGAUCUCCUCUCCUCUCGUUUUAAUCUGUUGAUAAUAAUUUCAUGCAGUAAAUUUUCUUGUUAUUCAAAGGAUGUCCAUCGGAUCAACGCACGUUCCAUUUGCUCUCACAAGUAA
rnacentral:rRNA from 1 species